AGAUAAGUAUACAUAGGUACAUACAUAGUUACAAAUGCGUACAUAUCAUACUCAAUUCUCACUCGUAUACUUACCACAGAAGAAAUGUUUUUUCAUAUAAUUUUUCUCACACGGUAAUUCAUAUCAGAUAUUUUUCAUUUUGUACCGUCAUUUAUAAUAUUUUCAGUAUACCUAAUAAUUCACGUAAAGUGACAUGAAUUCACUCAAUUCAUCUCAAAUGUUCGUAUUAAUACUCUGGAUAAACAUUGCGACGAUAUCCUCAGCUCGUGUCAUCUCUUUCCCCCCUAGACCCCCUCCUUCAAGAAGUGACCCUCCUGUUGAGGAAAGUAGACCUAUCGUCUCCCAGUGGCCUGAAGAAUCUGAACGGUACACCUCUUGGACUGGUGCAACCGAUAAUGUCAUCCCUUUUCCCACUACGCCUACUAUAAUGGUCCUAUAGAUAUACCACUUUUGAGCCCAAUCUUUCUCCGCUCCGGCGCUCCCUCCGUGACUGAAAAUUUAAACAAGAUUUUGACAAACGAAAGAAGAAUACACGAGUAUUCAAGAAAUCGUGGAUUGAGUCAACAAGUACAGUGUCGAGAGUAAAGAAAAAAAGGCCAUGUACAUACGAGUAGUUCCAUUCAAUCUUCGUUUUCACAUGCCUCCUUUUCCUAGUACCUAUACUCCUGACAAAUACAGUAUUAUAUUGCACCUACUUAUAAAUUCUUUUUCAAAGUCAAUUUUUUUUCAUGCUUCCUUCAUUUAAAAAAAAAAUUAAAAUCACGCCAUUUUGAGAGCCUCAGAUGCGGUUCAAAAUUGAAAAUUUUCAAAAAUUUAUACGGUAAAAAAAAUUUAACACUUGCGCAGAAUUCAUUUUUGAUGUCCUUAUUUUCAUUCCAAACCCCGAAAUUGGCCUCAAAGAGAAGACUCGAAAUUGAAAAUUUACAAUUUUUUUAAAACUCGAUUCAUUUAUUUUCAUCAACUUAUAAUAUAAACUAGAUAACCCGUUUUUCGCGCAUACUGCGCUCCUCUUCUAGAUGUGAAUUGUUCAUUUUGAAAAUUUUGAAAGUAUUUUUUUUCGCCUAUAAUUCCCAAAAAGUCUUGCUUUUUGCUAACAUUGUUAUUGUUGCUUUUUGCCGGAAAUUGUGAAAGUUUAUGGCUGUUUUAAUAAUUGACAGAAAAAAAAUUGUUUCAAAGCAAAAAUUCCAAUAAUUCUUACUUUUUCAUCAAAAAUAUGUAACCCAAAGCGUAAAUUGUUCUCUAAAAUAUCCUGAAAAGCAUCAUUCUGUCAUCGCUUUAUCAUUCAUUAAAAUAAUGUCCUACUUUUCUACAAAAAUUGAAAAAAAGUAUCAGCUUUCUUAUAACAAUUGCCUGAAAAGUCAUGGUUUCAUUUAAAGUUGGCAAAAAUUUCAAGUUUUAGGCAAAAUUGCGAAUUAGGCUACCUACUUUUCACUUUUUUAGCAGAAUUUGCUGAAAAAUUCCAAAAAUACUUGUUUUUUUUCCUACAGUUGAAAUGAAACUAACACAUCGGAUUGGAUCUAAUACCACAUAACUGAAAAUUUCAAAGUUUCACUCAACUUUGACCUGGAACUUUUUUAAGCUUUCUUCAAAACUGCGAAUGUGUCAAAAUGUAUUUUAUGGCAAGCUUUUUCUAAGCAGACUAUGAGUACUCUAAAUAUUGGUUCGGUACUGGAGAAUACUUCAAUAAAAUACUUACUUAACACAAUUUUAGAAAUAUUCCAAGAUUUCCGAGUAAAAAAAUGCAAUUAGGAAUUUCCUUAAAACGUGAUUCUAAUUUUGUCAAGGACUCACAAAAAAAAUUCAACCCCUCAGUUGAAAAAUCUAAACUCCUACAUAUAACAGUAGAGAUUUUCCCAAAUAGUCCGAAACUUGCAUAAGUUGAUGAAAAAGUGAGAUGCUAGAUAUAACCACUCCAGAACUCAAAAAAAUGAAACCAUGGUUCCAGGAUUAAUUUUGAUACCCAAUGUGCUAAAAAUAGCACUUUUUCAUGUGUACAUCAACACCGUUGUUUUUCUGUUUUGAGCUAUUUAAAAACUUUUUAAAGCUUCCUUCAGAAACUUUUCAACUUUUAAUAAAAACCAUCACAACUAAAGUUUAAAAGCUAUUUUCAAAUCAAAAUAUCAUUGAGUAGUAGAGAAUACUGAUUGUAUGAAGCUUUUUCAUGUUUUUUAAGCUUUAGGAUUUCAUUUAAGCUUUCUUCAAAACUGUGAAUGUGUCAAAAUGUAUUUUAUGGCAAGCUUUUUCUAAGUAGACUAUGAGUACUCUAAAUUGGUUCGGUACUGGAGAAUACUAACUUCUUAUGUCAUAUCUGAAGCUUUCUAAAAAAUUUUCAGCUUUAAGCUUUCUUCAAAAUUUCACGAAUAUGGUCAAAAAGUAUUUUUUGGCAAGCUCGAUAUAGGUAGACUAUACAUACUUUAAAAUAUUCAUUGGGCACUGGAGUAUUCUAAUUUUUACAUCAUAUCUGAAGCUUUUUGAACUUUUUUCAGCUUCAAGCUUCCUUCAGAAUUUUGCGAAUAUGGUCAAAAAGUAUUUUUUGGGGAGCUCUUUUUAGGGAGACUAUACAUACUUAAAAUAUUCAUUGGACACUGGAGAAUUUUAAUUGUUCUUAUGAAGUAUGACGCUUUUUGAACUUUUUAAAGCUUUAAGCUCCUCCAAGACUCACCCCACAACCUCACCAAAAAAAUAACUCCAGAUUCGAACUCUACGACCUCGAAAACAUAUCAAUCGACAUAUCACACAAUAAUAUAAGAAACAUUUGACAUUUGAGCUUUUUUGAACUUUAAGCUUUUUUCAAAACUUUACGAAUAUGGUCAAAAAGUAUUUUUGGCAAGCACAUUCUAGGUAGGCCAUACAUACAUUAAAAUAGUUAUUGCGUACUGAAAAAUUCUAAUUGUUUAUGUCAUUUAUAACGUUUGUUGAACUUUUUCGAGCUUUGAACUUUUUCCAAAAUUCUACAAAUAUGGUUAAAAAACAUUUUUUGGCAAGCUCUUUCUAGGUACACUAUAUGUACUUGAGCGUAUACAUCGACACAGUCAUUUAUACUGCCUUGAACUUUUUGAGCUUUUUGAAGCUUUUCAAAGCUUUAAUCAGAACUUUCCAAAGUUUUGAUACCACAACUCCACCAAAAAACUGACUCCAGAUUCGAACUCUACGACCUCGAAAACAUAUCAAUCGACAUAUUACACAAUAUACUCGUAAUAUAAGGAAAAUUUGACAUUUGAGCUUUUUUGAGCUUUAAGCUUUUUUCAAAACUUUAUGGAUAUGGCCGAAAAGUAGUUUUUGGCAAGCACUUUCUGGGUGGACCUCUUACGUAAUUUAAAAUGUUUAUGGGGUAUUGAAGAAUUCUAAUUGUUUACGUCAUGUACAAAGCUUUUUCAACUUUUUCGAGCUUUAAGCUUUUUAUAAAACUUAACAAAUAUGGUCAAAAAGUAUUUUUUGGCAAGCUCUUUCUAGGUGGACCAUACGUACUUUCGCGUAUACAUCGUCACGCUUGUUUAUACUGUAUCAAUUUUUGAGCUUUUUGAAUCUUUUGAAAGCUUUUUUCAAAACUUUUUGAACUUUUGACCAAAACCUGCACAUCUACGGGUCAAAAGCUUUUUUUUGAGACAUCGUCGAACAAAAUCGGUUCGGCGGUUCUUCCAAACGAACGAUCACAAAAAAAACACCUUGCUAUUAAUAUAUAGAUAUUGAGCUUUUUUUGAGUUUUAAAGCACAAAUUUUUUGUGAACUUUUUUCUUCAACAUUUGACUUUUUUAGAUGCUCUUUCAAGGUAUAAUAUACGUACUACUGUGAAUACUACAUAUAGGCUAAAAUCAAUUAUUGAGCUUUUUUGAGCUUUAUGGCACAACUUUUUUGUAAACUUUUUUUUUGACAUUGGACUUCUUUCGAUGCUCUUUCAAGGUAUAAUAUACAUAUUUCUCUAUAUAUGUCGAAUGUACUACGUAUAGGCUAAAAUCAAUUAUUGAGCUUUUUUGAGCUUUAAGGCACAACUUUUUUGUGAACUUUUUUCUUCAACAUUUGACUUUUUUAGAUGCUCUUUCAAGGUAUAAUAUACGUACUACUGUGUAUAUGUCGAAUGCUCUACGUAUGGACAAAAAUCAAUUAUUGAGCUUUUUUGAGCAUUACGGCGCAACUUUUUGAACUUUUGAUUAAAACCUGCACAUCUACGGGUUAAAAGCUUUUUUUUGAGACUUCGUCGAUCAAAAUAUAAUAUACAUAUUUCUAUAUAUGUCGAAUGCACUACGUAUAGGCUAAAAUCAAUUAUUGAGCUUUUUUGAGCUUUAUGGCGCAACUUUUUUAUGAACUUUUUUCUUCGACAUUUGACUUCUUUUGAUGCUCUUUCAAGGUAUAAUAUACGUACUUCUCUGUAUACCUCAAGUUGGCUACGUAUAGACAAAAAUCAAUUAUUGAGCUUUUUUGAGCUUUAAGGCACAACUUUUUUGUGAACUUUUUUCUUCAACAUUUGACUUUUUUAGAUGCUCUUUCAAGGUAUAAUAUACGUACUACUGUGUAUACGUCGAAUGCGCUACGUAUGGACAAAAAUCAAUUAUUGAGCUUUUUUGAGCUUUACGGCGCAACUUUUUGAACUUUUGAUUAAAACCUGCACAUCUACGGGUCAAAAGCUUUUUUUUGAGACUUCGUCGAUCAAAAUCGGUUCAGCCGUUCCUGAGAUCUCGCUGUCACAAGAAUCCGGUCAUAAUUUUAAUAUAUAGAUGUGAGGAAUAAAUAGCACAUCAUUUUAGAGAUAUUUUUCUGAAAAGUGUUCAAUUUUUAAUUUUUUUUUUUGUUUUGUACAAACAAACCAAUAAAAAUACACUUCUUGUGACUAUUUCAUCUUAAAAACGUUCAAAACUAUCGAAACCGUUUUUAACACUUCGUAUGUACGAAAUUUACUCAGAAAAAGAAGAGUUUUUAAAGAUAUCUUUCUAACUCCAAACAACUUGCGAUGUUGGUUGGAAUUUUGAGUUGAACCAUUUGCAUUUUUACAAAGAUCUAGGAAGUGUACCCAACCCAAAGUGUUAUUUUUGGUUGCAAGGGGUCACACAAACCCUUAAAAUGCAAAAAUCUCAAAAUCUUUUUUUUUGAGAUAUAACCUUAUUACUCUCAAAGUGCGAUUUGACCUCAAACCCCAAAAUGGGUCCCAAAAAGGAGGUUCAAAAUUGAAAAUUUUCAAGGAAUACAAUAUGAGUAUCAUAAUUCAAACUUUUCAGGGCGAAGAAUUAAUUUUUGAAAACCAAAUAUUUGACCCCCAACUCCAAAAUUGGCCCCAAGAGAAGUUUCAAAAUUUCAAAAAGUAUAAUACUGGUGAGUAUUAAAAUAUAUUUUAUUAAAGACCCAGAAUUCAUUUUUGAAGACCAUUCGAUCUUUAAUUAAAAUCAACAAGCCAAAAAUCGAUUUCGUAGCAUGGCAAUUGGCUAAAUAAAUUUUCGCACUUCCUGGAAAAAUUCAAAAAUAGGUACUAGAAAAAUCAAAAAUCGUGCUGAAAGUUCUAAAAUGGCUAAAAAUCGUGAAAUUCAGUUUGAGGGAAUAACAGAAUUCCAUUAUUUUUACAAAAAAAAUGUAUCUUAAUUUUUGAUAUUUUGAAAAUCAUUAUUUUCUGGAUUUUCAAAAAUUCGCUAAAAAUCGAAAAAUUAAUUCAGGCUGCUGAAAUUUUGUCUACUGGAAGAGGAGCAAGGGUUCAAAAUAAAUGCCUAUGCACUUCCAAAAAAAAAAACAACACACAUUUAAAUUUCAGACAAACCAAUGUUUUAGUUGCAACUCCUUAGUUGCAACUCCUUAGUUGCAACUCCAACUCCAGAUUCCAAAUCUUUCAUUCCAGGUAAGUACUUCAUAACUUUGACUUUCCCUCUGCAAUUUUAAAAUGUGUUUGUACUUCGCAUAUGCACCUGACCGUUACAGAAAACAUACCAGGGAUGAAAAGCUAGCCGAAAGCUGAAAGCCGAGCAAAUUUUCGCACUAAGCCAAAAGCUAAAAGCUUGCAAGUUUCAUUUUUUCCAAGCCAAAAGCUAGCCAAAAGUUUCAUUUUUUUGGCUUUUUUCAAAGGCUUUUUUGCAGAAUUGAAUUCUCUAAAUUCAGAAGAAACAAAAACAUGAAAAAAAUUUCAUUCAAUUUUAUUUUAAUGCGAUUUAGUGAAAUGAAAAAAAAGGGAAAUAAUUCUAGCAAUGAAUAUUCUCCACUAUCACUAAUUAUUAAAUUAAUGUACCUGAUCUAAUUUUUAAUUCCCUUUUUUGUAAAUUGAUGACGUAUUAGCUAAAAGUUCAAAGUCAAAAGCUUAAAGCCAAAAGUUAAAAGCUAAAAGCUUAAUUUAAAUAUGUAUAGCUGAAAGCUGUCAAAUUGAAAAUAUAAGGGAAAUUUGAAGUCUCCAUACAUUAAAAACAGUGAUAUGAAUUUACUUAUUUUAUUUCAAAUUUUUGUGGCAAUAUUCUCGAUAAAUAUUGCGAUAUCCUCAGCACGUAUCAUCUCUUUCCCCCUGGCAAGUAUUAUUCCUUUUCCUGACUUGAGUGCAAGAGCUAUCGUCUCCCAGUGGCCUCAAGAAUCUGGUUACAUCCCCGGGACUGGUUCAACAGAAAAUAUCAUCCAUCUUUACCACUGGGCUUCCGUAAUUCCAAUCUUUGGAUCCGGUCUUUCUUCUCCCCCCAACUCCGCCUUUCACCCCUCGCCCCAAGGGACACCCAAGAAAUAAGAAUCCAAACUAGGUUUACUUUUUUCUCGCAUAGUACCAUGAUUAAGAUGAGGUAUUUGUCAUGUUGAACCUUCUUUAAUAAUAUCAUCAGCCAUUCGGAAACAGUGAUAUGAAUUUAAUUAUUUUGUUUCAAAUUUUGGUGCCAAUACUCUGGAUCAGUAUUACAGUGAGAUCUUUAGGUGUCAUCUCUUUCCCGGUUUUGCCUCAUCAUGUUACACAUGACCGUUCAGUGCGUCAGCCCCCAGUGCCUGGACCUAAUAUUCUCCUCAUGCACACAACUAAGCCUAGAAUCUAUCGCCGGAGAGCCUCUACUGCGCCUGUUAUCUCUUUCCCCGAUAACCCUACAUCCAGAUCUGGACUUGACGUACAUUGGACUAGUGAGACUGGACGUCUCUUCCGUUUGUCGCCCCCAUCUACUCGAGCUCCAUGGAUCAGACUUUUCCCCAAAAUGCCAGGGAUAACUGGAACCCACAAAGGCUAUGACUGAUGUUGAAGGAUUUGAAGAAUUCACGAAUUCAAGAAAGAUCGUGGAUUGAGUCAACCAAUAGGUACAGAGUGGCGUGAAAAACGAUCAUUUUUCAGAGAUAUAUCUGAAUAUGCCAUGCAACCAUUCAAUCCAAUUUCAUUUUCACACAUCUCCUAUUCCUAAAUUCCUGUUGAUCUCUGAAAUUGGUCCAUGAUAUAGACAACACAAGUUGAUGUGUGAGAAGCUGUUUGAAAUUUAACAAGUGAUUCUUCUGAAAGGAUUCUUCACACUGACUGCGAAAAAGUUUCAACACGAUCGGUUUUUUCGCUAAGCCAAUGCCAAUUAUGGUUGAUUAUUGGUUGGUAUUUUUUUGGUCUGUUUUUGAAUUGUUCUCGAUUGUGUAGAAAUCGUAUUCGAGAGUCUGCCAGUAAAUCGAAAGCCUUCGGAUUUUUUUCAGCUCACAAAUUCAGGUCAAUGGUGUACCUAUGGUUGGAAAAUUUCAGACAGAAAUUCACCACUUUUUGGGCUGGAAAAAGAACUGAGAAACGUUUUUUGUAUCUUUGGAGGUCUUCAAACUGUACUUAGUAGUUACCUAUAAGUGAAAAUUUUUUAAAAAAAUCUACAUCUUGGUGAGAUAGAUAGCAUAAAUCCAUAGCAAACUUGCACUGGUUAAUGGUUAGCUCCAAAAACCGAGCAAAGGGUCUUGUCACCAUUUUUACUCGACUAUGCUUUUCCAUUACAAUUUUCAUUUAUCUGUUGAUCAAUAUUAUGGAUAUCAAUUUAUUUUAUUAUUCAUUUAUAAUAAAUAUUAUUCACUUUGUGU